ACUGAGGAGCUGGAAAUAGCAGCCGCCACUUUUGUGCACCAUUUGGAACAAGCUCAGACCCCACCCCCACGUCCCGGCCAAUAAAGCCCAGUGUGCCCAGCUGAGCCUACAAUUUAUAUAGGUAUUUAUAUCUGUCCCCACACGUCCACAGCAGAGCUGCUGCUAUUUAUAAACCCAGGCUGGUGACGGCAGGAGCAGGACUGUUUCGCUGCCCCCGCCCCAGGGAGAGCGCGUGUGUGCACAGGCAGGCAUGGGUGUGAAUAUGCGUGGACGCACUUUUCCCUCUGUCCCAGGCAGACAGCCACCUCCAGCCCUGGGCAGGGACUGCUGGGACAAGGGCAGCAGCGCCACCUCCUGGAGAGAGGCGGGGCCGAGUGGGCAGUGUGGAGGCAGCAUGCUGGGGCACGGGUGAGGGCUGAGGCCUGGCUGUGGGCGAGCAGCUGGGGGCGGGGGUGAGAGCCCAGCUCAGGGAGCCGGAAGGAGGCCCAGCCCCACGGUGAGUCUGUCUCCUCAUCUGUGACCUGUGGACCCUUGCUCGGGAGUGAGGGACACUGGCUGGAAGAUGCCUCCUCUGACCUGACCGUGGUGGACGCUCUCUGGGAGCUGGAGAGGCCUCCAAGGAUGCAAAGAGAUGGGAAUGGCUGAGACAGUAACGCCAGAGCCGGUGGAGCAGAAGAGGCGAAUAAAGGGGAGAAGGUGGAAGCCGCUGGCCUUGGGCUGAGGAUCACACUUAAAAUAUAGCAAUUAUUGGGAGUUCCCGUUGUGGCGCAGCGAUAACGAAUCCACUUAGUAUCCGCGAGGAUGCGGGUUCAAUCCCUGGCCUCGCUCAGGGGGUCGACAAUCCAGCAUUGCCAUGAACUGUGGUGUCGUCCAGCAGCUGCAGCUCCCAUUUGACCCCUAGCCUGGGAACCUCCAUAUGCCGAAGGUGUGGCGCAUAAAAAGAAAAAAAAAAUUUUUUUUAAAAAGGAACUUUGGAAAUCAAGCGGAGGAAAGUGAACAAAAGGCGGACAAUCAGAAAAAAGGGAAAAGAGUAUUAGAAGGUCAAUUGAGGAAGUGCAGCGUUUAACCGAGGGGAGUUCCAAAGAGGAGACACAAAACCCGGACAGCAGGAGGUCAUCGGAGAUUAGACGUGAAUGAACCUUAAGGUUCAUUCAUUCCCAGAAGAGAAAGACAUGGGGCUCCCGGAUGAACCUGCCCCUGGAGGCUCCAGCACAGCAGUCACAGAACGGCCUGUGUCAAGAGCCAUCACCACGACACUUCAGAAUGCCAGGGACAAAAGAAGUGCCUAAGAGUCUUGACAGACCACAAAUAAAACACAUUACAAAUAAGGAAUCACCAACACGAUUGGCGUCGGGAGACAUGGCAACAACACAGAUGGCACAAGACAAUGAAAUGAUCACUGAAUUUCUAAGUAAAAAUAAUUUUCAAACUUGACAUUCGUUCUUGAAUCUGAUCCAUGCAAGUGUCAACCGAAAGAAAUAUGAGAAUAACAACAACCAAAAGAGACAGAAUAAUGCAUUUUCAGAGGCACGAAGUCUCAAAAAAUUUACCUCCCAUGCAGCCUUCCUCAGAAAUACAGGAGACGUGCUCCACCAAGAAGCAGAAGUGAGCUAAGAAAAAGGGAUCCUGGAGGGGGAUCCAAUCCAACAGAGCGGGGGUGGCAAAGAGGAAAGACUGGUGGGGGGAUGAUAGGAAAUGUUUGACCGAGGAAAAUGUACUGAAUAUAAGGGAGGGUGCAAAGGGGGGAAAAAAAAAGAAAUUAUGUUUUUUAAAAAAGAGAGGAAGAAAAGACUGAGUUAAGAAAAGAAACACAGGUUCCUCAAAAAAUAAAACACAGAGUUACCAGAGCACCCAACAAUUCUACUCGAUUUAUAUCCCCAAGAAAUGAAAGCCUCUGUCCACACAGGAACUGGACGCGAAUGCUGAUGGCAGUUUAAUUCAUAACAGCCGAAAGGUGCAAACCACCCUACGUCUACAGCAGACGAGCAGAUAAACAAACGGGGGUCUAGCCAUACAGUGAGAUGCUCCUUCAGCCAUAAAAAGAAGGAAGCACGGAAACAGGCUACGGCGUGAAUGAACCUUGAGGAGGAAUGAUUACUCUGAGGGCAGAGGCUUCUUGCCGGGUUUGAUGAGAAGGUUCUGAAACUGGAGAGGCGGAGGCUGCAUGUAGUGAAGGCACUAGAUGCCACCGGACUGCAUUCUUUAUGACCAUUAAUUGUAGGUCGUGUGAGUGUCACCACAAUCAAAAAAAAAUUUUUUUUGUCUUUUUAGGGCUGAACCCACAGUGUAUGGACAUUCCCAGGCUAGGGGUCCAAUUGGAGCUGUCGCUGCCAGCCUACGCCACAGCCUCAGCCCCAGCCACGCGGGAUCUGAGCUGCAUCUGCGACCUACACCACUGCUCGCAGCAACGUCGGAUCCUUAACCCACUGAGCAAGGCCAGGGAUCAAACCUGCAUCCUCAUGGAUACUAGUCAGAUUUGUUUCUGCUGAGCCAUGAUGGGAAUUCCAAAGUAGUUUUUUUCAAGCACAACCACGGAAGACUGGUAAGCUGAGGAUAUAAACAGCACAUUCCCGUUCUCCCAGCUCUUUGAGGGUGGGGGUCUCUGUUUUCUCGCCUUCCUGUCCCUAGUGGCUACAAAAGAAGCCUAGCCAGGCUCUCAGGAAAUACUUCCCAAACAUAAUACCUGCAACAGUGUUACUGAUUUAACCAAAAUUUACAAGAUAACUGUGUUGGGAAGAUGCAGUCAGAGGAAGCAAAGAGGUUUUGGAAGAAAGCUAAAUUCUCAUCUGCCGGACUACGGGAAACUGACAGAUGGUUUACAAGUGACAGAUCAAGAAACAACUGGAUGAGCAUCAACAGCUAAAAGGGUGGGAAGGGGUGUUGCCGCUGGGCGUGGGGUGGGGGUGGGAUGGGGUGGGGGGAGGGUGGUGUGAAGGGGUAGAGCAAGGGUUGCUUAUUUGACCCUGGCCUUUUAGACCUCUUGACUUGUGCAAAGCAAGUCAGACAGCCUUUGAUAAAAGCAGAACUGAAUUUUAAAAAAUCAAUUCUAUUACUUUAUAAUUGUUCUUAUCAAGAGCAAACCUGGCCCCCAGCAGGUGGCAAGGGGGAGGUGGCCAGAGAGGCUGGGAGGCAGGUGGCAAGGAGGCCAGGCCUGGGGGAGGCCUCCUUUACCACUUCCUGGACCAGAGGAGGUCAAAGCCCUCCUAAAGGCCACACUCAAAGCGGGCAAGACCAGAGCUGGGGAAUCUCUGUCUCUGAGGCCUUGAGAGUGACUCUUUUAUAAGCUCCUCGGAGAGACUGCAGCUUCCCACUUGCCACCAAUGGCUACUUAGCUGGGAAGGUUAGAACAAGGUAGAGUCCCGGUCCAGUUUAUGUCUGAGGUGGCAAACUUCCUUCCAAGGCUACAGAAAGGUCACUGACUCUGACCAACCACCAGCCACACAGCAGGAGGCCUGUCUCCACUCCUGAGUCACAGCUAUCACCAGGGCAGCGUCCUCUGCAAGGAAGGACCACAAAAUUGUUCAGGACCACAGGCAGAUCACUUGGGAAAGUGAACUGCCGUAAAAAUAACAGCACCUGCUAUUGAGGGAGCGCUGCUUAAGGGCCAGACAUGGUGUUAUGUCAUUUUGUUUAAUCUUCGUAACAACCCAAAGAAACUCAGAUCUACAUAUUUUUAUAUCCCCACUUUCCAGGUGAGGAAACUGAGGCCCAGAGAGGUUAAGUAACAUGUUAAUGAGCAAGGAAGCAGGCACUUGAACUCAGGCCAUUAUUAUUUCAGAGCGUUUUAGUCUUUCUACUACACUUCGCUUGUGCUAAUACCGAAGGCUGAGGGUUUUGUUGAUUCAUUGAAGAUGUUUUUACUGAAGGUCCACUAUGUGCCAGGCAUUGUACUAGGUGCUGACUGCAGUGAAAGAGCAAACUGGGAUCCUGCCCUCGUGGUGCAAAGAAUCUGGAAAAGCAGCGCUCUUGGAGUCAUGUCGAUGGGGCAUCAAAUCCCAAUCCUGCCACCUAUCAGCUGUGGAACUUGGGUAGGUAAGUCACCCUCUCUGCAUCUCAGUUUCCUCACCCACAAAACAGUAUCGAUAAAAACCGGCCACAUUGUCAAAGUUCCUGUAAGAAAGAACCUUCCAUAGGCACUUAACACCCACCCAAGCCAGAGAAGCCACUCCACAAAAAUAGGUUCCUUCCUUCUCCUUCAUUCUCCCUUUGAGAUUUUCACUUGGACUCUGUCCUCAUCACCUUCUCAGGCACUUAUGGACUAUUACGGCCGCCUCCUCCAGGAAGCCUUCUCCUACUAAACAAUCCAUCACCCACCUCUCAAUUGCUGUACUCAAUUACCUCUCAGUUUUCACUAUAAAUUAGCACUUCUUUAUGUUUUUGUAGUAAAUACUCUUUUAUUCUCUUAUUCAUUCAACAAACAUUUACUAACAACCUCCUGAUGCUGAGCACCAUGCAAAGUGCUGAGGACACAGAAAGGGACUGGAUCCAUUCCUUGCUCUGAGGGAGGGCAUAUUCAAAUUAGGAAACUAACUUAAUUUGUGAAAAUUUGCCCACUGCACAUCUAUGCUAGGAAGGAAGCUAUGUUUAUGAUAUCCUAUUCACCCUUCAAAACCUGGUUCAAUUGCCACCUCCUGCACGAAGCCUUCCCUGAACACCCCAGAGGAGGCACUGCUCUGCUCUCCUGGUAACCAAGUCAUUCUCCAUUAGCGCCCUUAUGGCCCUGAAGUGUAGUAUCCGUCCAUGGGUCCACAGCCCUCUACGGAGGAUGAGCUCCUGGAAGGCAGGAUUCAUUUCUGCCACAGUACAAGCCCCACUGAAAAGCAAGGGUCUGAGGAACUAGGAAGUCCAGGACCGUAAGAACAGGGCCUCCAGCAAUGGUGGGACUUGGGAUAACAAAAU